GUGAAGCUGGAUUCGCUAGUAAUCGCGCAUCAGCCAUGGCGCGGUGAAUAGUUCCCGGGCCUUGUACACACCGCCCGUCAAGCCAUGGAANCCGGGGGCGCUUGAAGUGCGUUGCCGCAAGGCGCGCCCUAGAGCGAAACCGGUGACUGGGGCUAAGUCGUAACAAGGUAAC
rnacentral:rRNA from 1 species